rnacentral:rRNA from 1 species
UACGUAGGGGGCAAGCGUUGUCCGGAUUUAUUGGGCGUAAAGCGCUCGCAGGUGGUCCGUCGCGUCGUGCGUGAAAGACCCCGGCUCAACUGGGGAGGGUCACGCGAUACUGAUCGACUCGAAGGCAGGAGAGGGUAGUGGAAUUCCCGGUGUAGUGGUGAAAUGCGUAGAUAUCGGGAGGAACACCAGUGGCGAAGGCGACUACCUGCCUGUUCUUGACGCUGAGGCGCGAAAGCUAGGGGAGCAAACGGGG